GCGUCGUUAGCGCAAUAGGCAGCGCGUCAGUCUCAUAAUCAAAUCCAGAAAUCUGAAGGUCGUGAGUUCGAUCCUCACACGGGGCA
rfam:Nematostella vectensis strain CH2 x CH6 NEMVEscaffold_477_Cont28271, whole genome shotgun sequence.